AUUGAACGCUGGCGGCAUGCCUAACACAUGCAAGUCGAACGGCAGCACAGCAGUAGCAAUACUGUGGGUGGCGAGUGGCGGACGGGUGAGGAAUACGUCGGAAUCUGCCCAGUCGUGGGGGAUAACUAGCCGAAAGGUUAGCUAAUACCGCAUACGACCGAGAGGUGAAAGCGGGGGACCGCAAGGCCUCGCGCGAUUGGAUGAGCCGACGUCGGAUUAGCUAGUUGGCGGGUAAAGGCCCACCAAGGCGACGAUCCGUAGCUGGUCUGAGAGGAUGAUCAGCCACACUGGAACUGAGACACGGUCCAGACUCCUACGGGAGGCAGCAGUGGGGAAUAUUGGACAAUGGGCGCAAGCCUGAUCCAGCAAUGCCGCGUGUGUGAAGAAGGGCCUUCGGGUUGGUUAAAGGAC
rnacentral:rRNA from 1 species